GGUGAACGCUGGCGGCGUGCCUAACACAUGCAAGUCGAACGAGAACGGGGUAUAGUUUACUAUACUUGUCAGCUAAGUGGCGCACGGGUGAGUAAUAUAUAGUUAACCUGCCUCAAAGAAGGGAAUAAUUGUUGGAAACGACUUGUAAUGCCCUAUAUGCCUUUAUGAUAUAAGUCAGCAAGGGAAAUAUUUAUAGCUUUGAGAUGGGACUGUACGGUAUCAGUUAGUUGGUGAGGUAAUGGCUCACCAAGACUAUGACGCCUAACUGGUUUGAGAGGAUGAUCAGUCACACUGGAACUGAGACACGGUCCAG
rnacentral:rRNA from 1 species